AGAGAUGGAAUUUUCCAGGUGUCCAGGGCUUCUUAGGAGAUGUCUGUACAAGAUCUGGUGCAGGGUUCCCCAGCCUUGGCACCAGGGAUCUGCACACUGCAGGGUGGCCAGCAGCAUCCUUGGCCUCCAGCCACUAGGUGUCAGUAGCAAGUAACUGUCCCCUUUUGAGAGCGACUGCUCUGGGCGCUCAGAGGCGAGACCAGGUAACUGCUGGCCACCCGAGCAGGCGAGUCACCUUCUGAAAGUCAAGUUAUGGAUGCUUGGGGAGCGGGAAGGAGCGUGUCCUGUGCGGAAGUCUCCUGAUGUCUGAGUGCAACCGUGGGAACAUGUACACAGAGAAAAAGAAAUGUCUAAACAUGCAGAGGCAGACGGCGCGCUAACUCUGAACCUGAGGAAUGGAGAUGCCAGGUGUGCUGUGCUGACUAACUCCCAGCCGCCCCGGAACACCACCGUCCUCCCUGGGAGGCGCUGGUGAGCGAGCCCUCGAGCUACACCCCUUCGGCCUGGUUACUGUCUUCCCUGCUUUGCAAGCGUCGGCCUCCCGUACCCAGAAGGCUUCCUGAGAUUCUUGUCCAUUCUCCAGACACCCAACCCCGCCCCUCGUUGCAUGCUCCGUGGUCAAUAAAUAACUGGGUGCCAUGCUAA